UACGAAGGGGGCUAGCGUUGUUCGGAAUUACUGGGCGUAAAGGGCGCGUAGGCGGCUUCGAUAGUCGGGUGUGAAAUGCCUGGGCUCAACCCAGGAACUGCACUCGAAACUUCGAGGCUAGAGUGUGGGAGAGGAUAGUGGAAUUCCCAGUGUAGAGGUGAAAUUCGUAGAUAUUGGGAAGAACACCGGUGGCGAAGGCGGCUAUCUGGACCACAACUGACGCUGAGGCGCGAAAGCAUGGGGAGCAAACAGG
rnacentral:rRNA from 1 species